rnacentral:rRNA from 1 species
CAGUAGCCGCGGUAAAACGGAGGGUGCAAGCGUUAAUCGGAAUUACUGGGCGUAAAGCGCACGCAGGCGGUUUGUUAAGUCAGAUGUGAAAUCCCCGAGCUUAACUUGGGAACUGCAUUUGAAACUGGCAAGCUAGAGUCUUGUAGAGGGGGGUAGAAUUCCAGGUGUAGCGGUGAAAUGCGUAGAGAUCUGGAGGAAUACCGGUGGCGAAGGCGGCCCCCUGGACAAAGACUGACGCUCAGGUGCGAAAGCGUGGGGAGCAAACAGGAUUAGAUACCCUGUAGUCCCUGUCUCUUAUACA